CUUUUUAAUGUUUGUUACGUGUACUCCACGGUGGGCACAUUUUAGGCCAAUCAAGUGUAUAUGAUGGAUAUUUCUUGAUUCAGACAUAAUGUUUAAGAAUGUACUUGUGUACUAGUGAUGUCAUUUUGUUCAAUAAAUGUCUUCAAAUAGGAGAAAUUAUGAAGUGAAUUGGAAGGAGAUAGGAGGUUAAAAAUUAUUGAAGGUGGUGUUUUACUGCCAAUUGAAGAUCAAUUUCAUCUGUUAUAUGGUUUAAUGGUAGGACUGAACAAAAUACUUUUGCAUGCACUGUCUACCAUAUUGAGAAAACCAGGAGCAUGAGCCAUCAGCAGACUGUAAUCAUCAUUAAUAAUUGAAUUUACUUGUUUGUGGCAUGUCAUCAAGGAAUUCUACGAAGUCAUCAACAAUACCUCAGUGAUAUUAAUAAUACAUAGUUAUUUUUAAUAAAAUUAAAUUUCAAAUAUUAUUGGUAUGUAUAUUUUCUCUCUUUUAUAUUUCCUCUCCUUUGUUUCCUUCACCUUUGGAGUAUAAAUUAAAAUUCUUAUGUUGAGAAUAUUUCCAGAACAGUCUUAAAGGUACUUGCUUAAUGCUUCAGCCUUCAAGUAAUACUGUCACAU